GUGUUCUGACUUUUAUGUAUUCGCCUUAUCCAGACAGUUGAAUUUCUGAAUGAAAAGCUGGAAAAAAGGGAGGCUCAGUUAUUAUCUCUUAGUAAGGAAAAAGCACUUCUAGAAGAAGCUUUUGAUAACCUGAAAGAUGAAAUGUUCAGAGUGAAAGAAGAAAGCAGUAGCAUUUCUUCCUUGAAAGAUGAAUUUACUCAAAGAAUUGCAGAAGCAGAAAAG
rnacentral:sRNA from 1 species